rnacentral:tRNA from 1 species
ACAUUUGUAGUGUAAUAUGGUAGCACAUCCCGCUGUUCGCGAGAGAGUCCCGGUUCGAUUCCGGGCAGGUGAA